rnacentral:misc_RNA from 1 species
AAUUCUCAACCUAUCUGGCUUUUUAUAAGUCGGGUUAGGCUUGGAUCUUGGAGGUUGCUGGUUUCUCAGAAGUCAGCUCUUCUAAAAUAUAUUAGCAAAGUCUUUGCUGAUCGCCUUUGGUAUGAUAAUUAUCUAUACCAUCGACAUUAGCUUCCGUUAAUGGAAAAAGGAUAUUGCUUCUAAUAGUCUGUAUAGACAACUUGACA